rnacentral:misc_RNA from 1 species
AAGUCGUAACAAGGUUUCCGUAGGUGAACCUGCGGAAGGAUCAUUAUCCAUCUCAAACCAGGUGCGGUCGCGGCCCCCCGGGGGAUUGCUCCCGGGUGGUAGGGGUAACACCCUCACGCGCCGCCUGCCUGUACCCUCUUUUUACGAGCACCUUUCGUUCUCCUUCGGCGGGGCAACCUGCCGCUGGAACCAAAACAAAACCUUUUUUGCAUCUAGCAUUACCUGUUCUGAUACAAAUAAUCGUUACAA